UACAGAGGUCCCAAGCGUUGUUCGGAUUCACUGGGCGUAAAGGGUGCGUAGGUGGCAGGGUAAGUCGGAUGUGAAAUCUCCGAGCUCAACUCGGAAAUGGCAUUGGAAACUACCCAGCUCGAGGGUUGGAGGGGGGACUGGAAUGCUUGGUGUAGCAGUGAAAUGCGUAGAUAUCUGGAGGAACACCGAUGGCGAAGGCAGCCUCCUGGGCCAGCACUGGACGCUCAUGCACGAAAGCGUGGGGAGCAAACAGG
rnacentral:rRNA from 1 species